UACGGAGGGUGCAAGCGUUGUCCGGAUUUAUUGGGUUUAAAGGGUGCGUAGGCGGCUUUUUAAGUCAGCGGUGAAAUACUUCAGCUCAACUGGAGUCGUGCCGUUGAUACUGGGAAGCUUGAGUACUGAUGAAGUGGGCGGAAUUGAAGGUGUAGCGGUGAAAUGCAUAGAUAUCGUCAAGAACACCGAUUGCGAAGGCAGCUCACUAAGGAGUAACUGACGCUGAGGCACGAAAGCGUGGGUAGCAAACAGG
rnacentral:rRNA from 1 species